rnacentral:tRNA from 1 species
GGAGAGGUGGCUGAGCGGUUGAAGGCGCAUGCUUGGAAAGCAUGUAUAGGUUAAUCCCUAUCGAGGGUUCGAACCCCUCUCUCUCCUCCA